GACGAACGCUGGCGGCGUGCUUAACACAUGCAAGUCGAACGGAGUUACGUAUGAAGUAUUUCGGUACGGACUAUGUAACUUAGUGGCGAACGGGUGAGUAACACGUGGGCAACCUGCCCUUAACCGGGGGAUAACAUUGUGAAAACAGUGCUAAUACCGCAUAACAGAGUAUCGGGCAUCCGAUAUUUUUAAAAGGAGCAAUCCGGUUUAGGAUGGGCCCGCGUCCAAUUAGCUAGUUGGUGAGGUAACGGCUCACCAAGGCUACGAUUGGUAGCCGAACUGAGAGGUUGAUCGGCCACAUUGGGACUGAGACACGGCCCAGACUCCUACGGGAGGCAGCAGUGGGGAAUAUUGGCAAUGGGCGCUAGCCUGAACCAGCCCAAGUCGCGUGAAGGAAGACAGAUCUAUGGUUUGUAAACUUCUUUUGCAGGGGAGUAAAGUGCGACACGUGUGUUGUAUUGCAAGUACCCUGUGAAUAAGCAUCGGCUAACUCCGUGCCAGCAGCCCGGGUAAA
rnacentral:rRNA from 1 species